rfam:Mesocricetus auratus contig194847, whole genome shotgun sequence.
GUCUACGGCCAUACCACCCUGAACACUCCCAAUCACAUCUGAUCUUGGAAGCUAAGGAGGGUCGGACCUGGUUAGUACUUGGAUGGGAGAAAUGCAUUGUGUUGCUCAGAAC